rnacentral:lncRNA from 1 species
AAUCGACUGGUUACGUGUUGUUCUUGCUGAGGCAAAUGACCGUUGUGCCCACCUUGAAGAAUCGUUAAUGGAGAGAGAUAGUCUUGUGCAGCGUUGUGAAGAAGUUUUGGCAAAGACAAAUAUGCCCCUGCAUUUGCAAUCAUCAGAGCUAGAACAUAAGAUCGAUUGGUUACGUGUUGGUCAUUCGGAGGCAAAUGACCUUUGUGCCCUCCUUGAAGAAUCGUUAAUGGAGAGAAACAGUCUUGUGCAGCGUUGUGAAGAAGUUUUGGAAAAGACAAAUAUGCCCCCGCAUAUGCAAUCAUCAGACCUAGAACAUAAGAUCGAUUGGUUACGUGAUGUUUAUUCGGAGGCAAAUGACCGUUGUGCCCUCCUUGAACAAUCGUUAAUGGAGAAAAGUAGGAUUGUGCAGCGUUGUGAAGAAGUUUUGGAAAAGACAAAUAUGCCCCCGCAAUUGCAAUCAUCAGAG